rnacentral:rRNA from 1 species
UACGUAGGUGGCAAGCGUUGUCCGGAUUUACUGGGCGUAAAGAGCGCGCAGGCGGUCGUUCAAGUCGAGUGUGAAAGCCCCCGGCUCAACUGGGGAGGGUCACUCGAUACUGAUCGACUUGAAGGCAGGAGAGGGAAGUGGAAUUCCCGGUGUAGUGGUGAAAUGCGUAGAUAUCGGGAGGAACACCAGUGGCGAAGGCGACUUCCUGGCCUGUUCUUGACGCUGAGGCGCGAAAGCUAGGGGAGCAAACGGG